UUUCCUCCCCACACCUCUAAGCGCAUGCCUAUUGUUCAAUACAACAACCUGACAUCGCUUACACACAGCCACCCAAGCGAAAGGCAAUCACAUUUGCCUCCUCGAGCGUUUGUCCCUCGGCGCUCCGUGCCGCAGAUCGCUGCAACCUGCUGAAAGCCCCGGUUUCCUCCUCCACCUCUAAUCCACAAUCCGUCCAUAAAAGGUUGAUGUCUGACAAGAUGUGGUGGGGAGGAAAAAGAAACUCAUUGAACGGUUUGAUGUGCCGCGUCAGGUGCUUCCCUCCUUAAACGCGACACCCUCUUCGAGCUCGGACUGUGAGGAACACAAUUUCUCAUCUUGUCAUCAUCUUGUUGCAGUGGGGAGGAGGGAGGAUGAAGGUAGAGAGAGGAGGGGGGGGGGGGCAAAAGUUGAGGCAGGCAGGAGUUUGAGUAGAGGCAAAAAGUACGGUAAAGUUGUCUAUAAGGGAGGUGGAGGAUUGAGCAAGUGAAGAUGAGGUUGGUUUUUUUUGUCUGGAGCUGUAAAUCCAUCCUACAAAGUUCAGUGUGAAAAUCCAGAGUGCUGAAGCAGAGAGACGAGGACGGACGGGGAGAUGAUACGGUGCAUCGAAGGAGGGGGUGCCGUUAAUGAGGGGGUGAUGUGGGCUGAGACGGAGGGAAGAGAGAACUAGAUACACACAGAUUUCCCUCCCUGGAUGCCUUGUAGCGAGAGCUCAUCAUCACAGGCAACACCAGGCCUCCAUCAUGUAAAAAAUAAAAAAAGAUAACGCAGCGAAUUUAAUCCCAAACUGAACUGCAUCUCAUAACUCAUAAUGCGUUACACAUUCAGCCGGUAUCGGAGCGAGCCGGGCCGCUGCUGCUGCAGGUCUGGAUCCAAAAUGGGAAAAAGGCAAGAAAAGCAAUAUGUUUUAAUGAGGCCGGUUACCACAGAGAGAGAGACUACAUUUCUCAGUCCCAGGCUGAGGAUAUACACACAUAUGCCUGACACGUGUAUUACAUGGAGGCCUAGAAAUUAACAUACUAAACAAACACACGCACGGCGUUACUCCCUGCUCGGGAUAUCCAUGGGAAGCUGCGCCGCCUGCAGCGGGAACAUAAAGCCCUUGGCAGGCGGCUCAGAAUGAUGUAGGGCCUUGUAAUGAAUUUGAUUUCAUCCUGCCAUUUCAGGCAAUAAACACACCGGCUUAAGAUGCAUGGAGUUGUAAAUUUGAGCUGAGGCUCUCUUUUCAGCCUUGGUGUGAAUAUUGGUUAGUGAGUAGUGCGACAUGAUCACAGAAGAAAAGGCUGGAAGAGGCUCAACUGUGUGACGCUCUGCGUGUGUGCGUGUGUGUGUGUGUGUGUGUGUGUUUGUGUGUGUGUGUGUGUGUGUCAGGUGGCCAAGUAAUGCGGUUUUGCUGCGGCACACGUCCACAUCUCACAAUAAAUCAGAAUGAUUUAAAAGACCAGCUGUAGUGGAAACAUGCUUUUUCUUGCUUUUCUUUUUUUAUCAUCGAGGCUGAAUGCUGGAUUUUAAGUUUCACGCGGAGAUACUUUUCACUCUUUGAAUGGGACACGCGUGCAGGAGAGGAGGGAAAAGGAAGGUAGAUUAAUAAUGUAACUCGGUGGAACAGAUUAUGAAGGAGAGCAGCAGAGUAGGUGUGUGUGAGGGGGACGGAGGAGGAUGGGGGUGGGGGGUCCUCGGCAGAAGGUGCCACUGAGGCCAACAUGUGUCAUCAAUUAUGGAGUCCGCAGUGAUAUUUCUGGUGCCUCAGCGACGAUGGGAAGAUUUGGCAAUCAAAUACAAGCCACAAGUAUUUUUAUACCUGCGCCGUUUUGUAACAUGAAUGGAAAUUCCCAGCACCCAUAAAUAAUUCACACGUAGCACUAAGUCACACUGUUAGGACUUCAAAAUAGUCUCACUGCACUUCACACAUUUUUUUUUCCAUUCAAUUAUGGUGAGUAACCAUAAAAUAAAAAGCCCAGACUAAAUUGCUUCUGAUCCCUGGUCUUUUCUGACAACUUCAAAUCACUUAGCAGACCUGUUAUAGCCAGUGUUACAUAACAGUCCAGGUGCUGUAACUUUUACAGUUCUAGGUGAGUGUAAACACGAUCAGGAGACAUUUAAAAACAAGCCAAAAUAUGAUUCUAAGUGCAGGUUAGGAAGUCAUGCUUUUACACACACACACCUACCAACACAUUCAACAUGGUGUGUGCAAGUGUUGCAGUCGCUGGACGGAGACACACCAACACACUUAAUACAUUUCAUUUUUCACAUUUAAGCGCAUUCAGCAGCUCUAUAAUCCAAGUACCCAGACUAAGCUGCACUGUCUUAUUGUACCUUCAAAGGUUGGUUGCCGGCCAGCUUAAUUAGUGUUGACAUGCUAAGAUUAGGAUUUCUACUUGUAAGCAUCACUGUCACCUUUAACUGACUGGAACACUGACCUUAUUGAAGAAGAGGGUAAUGUGUGUUUCCCUCAGAAACGGGUGCAUUAGUGCUUGUUCAUCCCCUUGUGAUUGUAGAAAAAAAGCAUGAGUUUUUAUCUUGUGUGAGCGCACGGAGGAGCGCGGUGAUGAAUAUGUGUCUCUUUCCAUUUGGUCCACAGGCUAGAUCUCCUACUGUUGGACCAAAUGUAUGUGAUUGUCAGAAUACCGUAUUAAUCAACAGUCAGUCAGUUAGCAAAUUAACCCAAUAGGGGGAUUUUAUUGAGCUAAUUAAAUAGUCGGCUUCCAGAGGCCGAGAAGCACCGUGCAGAGGGAGCGAGUGGUGGUGAUUGUUGGAACAGGGGGUGAGUUUCUGUCUGUCUAGUUUAAAUAAAAUGUGCUUUAUGAUUAGUCAACAGGGUAACCAAGGUAGUCCAGCUCGUGGUGGGAGGGGUCAGGCCCGAAAGAAGCGCCGACAACGGCUCAGAAUUCUUUAAGGUGGAGCAGCUCUUCUCGUUUUUAGCGAGAAGCCCUUUAGUCGGGGAAGCUUGGAUGUUCACGUCCCCUUGCACAAAUGCAUCAACACACACAGACACAUUGAAAACAAAUCCCCCACCCAGACAGAGCAAGCUAACCCCUCCCCCCCCCGCCACAAAAAGGAACUUAACUAUGUCAUUUUGGCUGAAUGGCAGCGAGCCUGUGUGGUGUAAUGGCCACAACGCCGCUGAAAGCUGUUUCAUUUCAGAAUCAAAGUGGCUGUAAUGAAGGCUGAAUGACACUGGGGAAGGGCACAAUGGCUCUGAGAUUGCUUGUAAUUAACAUGGCUGAUGUAAGACACAUGGAUUAAAUGUAACUGAGCUGAGCAAUAGAUGGAAGCCAGUAGAAACACAACAACGUACGCCGCUUCUCGACGUUUUUGUUCCUCUCUGUUUGGCGUACUUUGGUUUUGACUGGUCUCCCCAAUUCUACUCCUUCAUCUAUCCGUACCUCUGUGCCGACUCCCUCAUGUGGUUCAGCCUGUGCAUCUGUCUGUCUGAUUGUCCGGCUACGAGUCUGCAUGCGUCUCUAACGAUGCAACUAUCUUCCCGUCUAUCUGUCUGUCCCUCCUGUCCCCUCUGGCCUUUAGAAAAUAAAAGCUGAGCCUGUUUGACACCUAACGGAUUACCUGAGCAGACAUGCUUCUCUCACCUUUGCUCUCCGCUGCACCAACACUCCACAUUAACAUUCCAGGAGAAUUGGAAGGAGCCCUCUGAUUGGGAAUAGGGGUUUGCAUAAAGCAAUCGAAUGGCCGACACAAAUUAUAAUACCGCGAUUCAAUUUGGAGAGCAAUUGUGGUCAGGAGGUGCUGUCCAUGUUUCUGAAUAUGCAUGCAGUUUGUCUGUGUGCGUUUGUGUGUGCGUGUUCCUGCUAGACUUGGGGGGCAUCUGCUAUCAUAGCUUCAUACGUUCCUGACAUUUCAUGGAGGUAGAGAGUACAUGACAUCUUCACUAAGAUGAGAUUCACCUAAAAUAAAUGAGAACAGCUGGUUGACGCACACAGCAGCAGGGAACACAUCAGUGAUCUGUUGAUUUUGUAAGUUGGUAGACUAAAGGCAAUUUCUCUGAGCGGCCGAUUCCACAAAUAAAAAGUAAACGCUGGUGCGGGGCAAUAAAAAUCAUUUGGAUGCUCCAACGUUGUUGAUAUAGAAGCAAAUCAACAGCAUGUUUUAAUUUGAAAUUGACGCCGCACUUUGGGGUCCUGGUGAACAUGUGCAGCAAUGGCAGAUGAGCUUCUAUGCUCAUCGGAAGCAAUUUGAGUUUCAGUGUCUCGUUCAAGGACACUUUAAAUCAAACUACAGUAACUACAGUAACCAAACUGCCAUUUAAAAACAGGCUCUAUUGUCUGAGCGACAGCUGCCGCAAAGCCCAUUUAAUGACACCUCGCUGGGAAGAAAUGCAAAUGUUCAACUGAAUGAAGCGGCCCAUAGCUGAUUAUUUUAAAAAACGAAAUGAGGAGAUAUCGAAGUGGAGGCUGGUAGAAAAAAAAAGUUAAGAGAUCUGAAAGGAAAUAAAUAAUAUGUCCUCAUUGAUUUUUUUAACAAAGCAUGUUUCAAGAUUUGGGACAGAAAAUGUUGCCCCUUCGAAGGCAUGUUAGGACGGACAGCGAGGGUGAUGGACAGCGAGUAUGAAUGACACUUUAGACAGCUGCGAAGCGCCUGAUAAGAAAGAAGUGAGGGAAUAAGAAGGAACGGAAACUGAUGGACGGAGGAAUAGUUUGACAGAAUUAUCUCAAAGAAGUAGAUAGAGAUGAGAAAAUGCGAGAGGAGACGGGUGAUGAAGAGGGAGACAAUGGGGGAGGUUGAAGGGUGUGUUAUUCCAAGGCGCAGACAAAGGUGAAGAGAAUAACGAGUUGAGGAUUACAUUCUAUUAAGUGGAGGUGUAUGACUGCACACAGGUUAUCUGAUUAUACAAGUCAACUUGUGCCCAUGCAUUUAAAACUGAAUAUGUUAUAAACAGUUCAUUUAAAAGAUUUAACUGUUAAUAAAAACAGUGUGGUUGAAAACCACAAAUCUGAAGGCGGGAAUUUGUUUAUGUUCCGUAAGUAAAAUCAAAGUCUGAUGAAAAAUCAGGUUAAUAUCCUUGACAUCAGUGGCCAGAAAAGUAAACGAGCGAAUCCUCGUGUAUUUGAGUGGGAAGAGAAGAUGUGUGUCGGAAUCAGCCAUCGGUGGGACAGCCGGAUGAUAAUGAAUCAUUGGUGUUAACUCACCAUCCUGUCCAGUCACUGUUCUGCAGGCAGGAAGCUGUUAGAAGAAAGAGAAAGAAGGGUUGGAAUUGGCCCUCAUUGUCUCGGCUUUACGGUUUUAUUUUUCCCAAUGUCUCAUUUUUCGUCCCAACUUUUGACCUUCCGACAAAAGGAAUUGGAAAUUUUUGUAAUAAUAAGUAUUUUAAAGUAAAUAUUGGUAUAUUAUUGAUCUGUUUCAACCAUUUGGCGGUUUUGUAAGGAUAAAAAGUCCCCUUUAAUAUAUGAUUAUCCAUGACUAUAAAGAAAAAGCGGACAAGGGGUUGGACAUCAAAUGUACGAGCGAGAGACACAUGGACUGAGAGUGGAAGUCAGAGGUAAAGCUGGUGAAAACGCCCUGAUAUUUAUCAGCGGGCAACUUGAAUGCAAAGAAGCGUGUUACCUUUGACUAAUGUGAUGGUCGUGGUUUGAUAUCGGGCCCACUCCUUUACUACUAUAUCCUACAGUACACCCAGAUAAGAGAAAUUAUGCUGGAAAAAAGCAGAAUGAGAUUGUGUGAGCGUGUCUUUGUGUCCGUGUGUCACACCUCUUGACAGCUCAAGCAGCUUCUGUUCUUUUUGCUGACAACUACAAUUUUGCCUUUGUGGCAGUAUAAUCAAAGUCAUGUGUAAGCUACCAUUCAUCAUGGUUUACACACACACACGCAUUAUUCCACACGGAUCACAUCCACAAAACUAUUAAUAAACACGGCGAAACAUUGAAAUGGACACACCCAGACGCUGACAGCAAAGAGCAGCUCUGUGUCAUAUUAUGUCAAGCAGCAUAUCUGUGUGCGAGUGUGCUUGCUGUUGUUGGUGAGAAAUUGAGAUUUAAUUAACGAACAAACAAACAUUGCUGCUCUUUAAGAUUCUUUUGUUUCACAACCGUCCAACGCUUCACUCCAAAUCGUUCUGCUCUGCUGACAAAACCGAUUUACUCACAAUCACACAUCUAUUUAAUUGAGGUUAAUGUUGUUGAAUUCAUGUGAUUAAAACCCUUUAGUUAAGUUCAUGCUGGAGCCUCCGCCCUUAAUAUAAUCGUUAAGCCAUGUGACCACUACUUUCAAACUUCUAAAUGACCAAUUCAAUCAAUUAUACUAGAAAAUAUCACCAGCAAAACCGUCACAAAGGUUUACAUUUGAUUUUAUCAGUUUAUUCGGAGUAGUUUGCAUCAUGAGUUGGAAUCGGGAGGUAAAAAAAAGGGAAUCAAAAACCUCUCUAAUUGGAACCAUAUUUGCAGUGUGAUCAUGUAUUUUCCUGGUGCCUCCACUCCCACCCCCCCUGCAGAGAAGUCGUCUCCUCCCGAACUCAUUGCCAAUCAAACAGUAUCAUCUAAAGGGGGGGAGGGACACACUGGAAGCCCACCCCGACUCCACCUGCUUGUGCUGUGAAUCAUUCUCAUCAACACUACAGUGCAACCAGAACAAGUCGGCAACUCUUUUCCCAGUUUGGGCAACGCUGCGCCAGGUGGAAGCUUGAGCCGCUCAUCUUGAAAAAUACAAGAACUGGUGGGUCGUAACCCCCCCCCCAUCCCCCGCAUCCAGUUUCAUUACACACUUGUGCACGACACGAAGGCAGACGCACACUCACAUAUUUACUCGCUCUCUAUAAUCAGUGUUAGGACAUAUUAGCGCAGUAGCAGCUCCACCUGCCUCGGGGCACACUCUUUCUAUUGACUGGCUCUUAUUUAGAGAGAAACCCCCAGUGCGUUUUAAACAACUCGAGGUAAAAGAGAGCGGGAAGCAGACAGAACGAGGACGAGAAACAGGAGGAGAGUGUAAAGCUGCAGAGAUGAUGGGGGAGAAGAGGACACGAAGAGAUGAGACGAGCGAGAUAAGGAGCUAAUGAUACUUACGUUUUGUUUAAUAGGAGAAUGACGUCGUAACGAGGUCUUUCAAAAUGAAGUUAUACAGCCGCUGCAAUGCACUUACAGGCAAGGUAAACAAUACUAUAUCCUCCCUUUUGUUUGAUCCUUGUUCAAAUGAUAAGGAAAUACAAGCUUAUUUUUACAAAGACAAUUAUGUAUUAGAAAAUUCUGCGAGCUAGUUUUGCGGCGUUAGACAGGUCACAAUACCUUUUUUCUAUUGUUGAAAAAACAUCUUCAUCAACAUCAAGUUUCCCAUUAAACACUUUAUUGAGCAAGGUUACAGUUGAACACACAAUGAUGACUUCAUAAUGUACCGUUCCUUAUUGCCCAUUUGCACAGAAUCGAAUAGGAACGGAAUGGAACCUCUGGACAGCAGCUGUUAGCUCCGUGUCUCCUCAGAUAUAAUAUAGAAAAUCAUAGAUCAGUUACUCGAGAGCAGUUCAUUCAAUCUUUGUAUCGCAUAUUUUUCAGUCGACAACGAUCAACAGUGAAACUUCAGUUUGCCUGACAGCCUCAAACUUGACGGUUAACAUUCAUGCCAUGCCAUGAGGAGGAGAGUAUCCUUCAUUCUUCUGCCUCCCUCCGCUUAGUAUCUUUCAUUUCUUCGCCCCAUUCUCUCUCCCUCUCUGUGUCUGACUGUUUUGGAGAGUUGUAAAUGUAUUUGAUUUCUCUCCCUCUCUCUCUGUGUCUCUCUCUCUCAGCGGGUAGAAUAUGGGUACUCGUCUUAAUCAAAGCGCCCGGCCCCGAGCUCAGCCAGCAUACUACAAAGUCUCAUCAUCAUCACCACCAUCCAUGGGAAGCAAUCAAUAAUUCAGCCUGCUGCCCGAUGCAUCACCAUGCAGAGAGAUAUUCCUGCUCGUCCCCGUACAGUGGGAGAGCUCUCUUACAUGGGAAACGGAGCUAUUCACCGAAGACCAAUAACAAGGAGAAAAUGCCAAAUGCAAGCCUAUAAUCCCCAGUUAGUGAGCAAUAGUUCCAGGCCUCGGGCUUUGGGGCUUGCAGAAGUGGCGCACUUAGAGUGGCAUUUGAAAUGCAGACAAAGUAAUCGAGGGGAUUUAAAAGCGCCAUGGAGCAAUCACAGCGGCUGUAACCCUCGGCUUGCUAGGAAUAAUAUGGGGACAUAUCAAUAUACUGUAAGGUGAUUUCUCUCGACAGAUGUUUUUACUCGUUUUUGUUCUUUUUUUCUCAGUAAAAAAAACAGGAGACCAGCAGACUUUUCUUUCUAUGGGAGCCGUUAAGUCUUCAGCACUCAACCUCCAAACAAUGAAGUUUGCUAUUGACAUUCUCAAGAUGAUACGGGCGAGCCCAUUAAUCUCUGUGGUUACGGGUUUUGUAUGUGCCGUGCUAAUCCGACACUUCAUCUCGACACGAAGGCUUUUUUUGGGGUCCAAUUCAGGUCACUCGAGAUUGCCGAUAGCCGAUCGCAUCACCGGGGGGGGGAGCGGCGGUGGCAGGGCGGACCCGACUUUAGAGAAAAAGUUUACACAACCCUGAAGCUUGUGGCUGAGUGUUACAUUCAAAUGUUUAUAGAAGAACGUAAACUUUUGUAUGUCAUUAAAAGAAAAUUGUAAUACCAAUGUGACCUCUAUUUAAACAAAGGGCUCACUUUAAAAAAGGUCUUACAUAUGGCAGCAUUGUGUUGCAUCAAUUAGCAAUUCUUACAUCUUUUCCUAACAAAUUCCAAUUUGACAUUGGCAGUUACAUAUCUGGCGACCCAGAUGGAAUAGUGGACAAUAACGUCACUCAGGUUUUUCAUUGUAAAAGUAAAUAUAUUCCAUGCAACUGCAUCCAUAACGUUUACUAUUUUUAAGGAGUUUUGAUGAGCCGGAAUAAGGAGAACAGAGAUCUGGGCGUCGGAUUCAGACAAAGUGGUUUGUAAUUAAUUGAUUUUAAAUCCGCUAGUGCUGGAUAACGAGGCUUAGUGGGCGGACAUCCUGCUUCGCCAGAACCAUCUCUGAAUGCACAGUAGGACUAGGUUCCAAAGAUUAUUUUAUAAACUCUUCAGAAACUUCAAUUGUUCAUGCAAUCAGCAAAGGUCUUCCCGAGACUCCACGUACUCUCUCGAAAACUGAUCGUGCCUGCCAAGAAUCAAGGUCCAACCGCUUAUUACGCCCUGCGAAGAUGAGAAGGAGGAAGAAGAGAUGCUGCUGGGCUUUUGAAUUUGAUCUACCUCUGUAAGCCUCCACUGCUUUCUCCAUCCUGUCCUCCUCGUUGGUGAGCCAGAACUUCUAGAAGGUUACAAGGAUCUUAAAUGCCCUCCUCCUGGACUUGCUGCACAUACCUUGUCUUAUGGCAUACUUUGAUGUCAGCAGUGAAUUCUUACAAAAAAAAACUCUUGAGAGCUGCAUAAAAAAUAGUCGGUUGUGCAAGGAAGAGGUGAUUGACAUUGUGAGGCUACAAAAGAAUGGGCUUGACAUAAUGUCCAGAGGGAUCCUGACAGCCGAAAUCUAGAGUCUUUUAAGUGAGUGGGGGUCUGGGUCUGCGGGUAUGUUGCCUCAGGGCAGGACACCCACUGCGUCUCUCUAUCACCUGAACCGCCUCGGAGAGCCCGCGUAGUGGUUUGCAUCCUCAGGCCAACGCCUCCAACGGUUACGGAGUGAUGUCACCGGUUAAGAGCAAAACGCAGCCUGCUGGAGGGAAGUUGGUCGGUCGAUGGCUGACCUCAGACAUCCUUGGUUUUCAAGUGCACGAAGGAGCUGGUUUUUCGCUGUUUGCUUUUUGUCCUUGUUUGUGUCCUAUGCUGGAUUCCAACAAAAUGUUCUGUUGAGCCAAUAUGAAAACACAAACUACAGUUUGAUCCUCACGAGAUCCCUCUGUGGCCGUUCCAAAAGCACUGUAGAGGAGCUUUAUUUCGAUGCAAUAACUACCCCCCCCCACACACACACAGACCGUGUCAUGUCGCAAGGGCUGCAAAAUAGUUUAGUCCAAUCGUGGUUACACAAGAUUGCCGAUGUACGAUUGCAAUUAGGUAGUUUAAGAAUUAUUCUACACCGCCAGUGAAAAGACGGACACUGAAUUAAAUGAGAAAAUCUAUCCAAACGUUUGGUUGGUAGUGUAUGUGGGGCGGCGGGGGGGUACUUGAUUCUUAAAUUACCCAAGGUAACUUGAGUGGCUCCACUAUGCCGCCCAUAAAACAGCUUCUCAUUGAAGAUGUUUCCUUGUGUCAAUUGUUCAGAGGGACGAGAUCGAUGCCGAAUGCUCAAAAGAGCACAUUCAGUGGAAAAAAAAAAUAAUUCGAAAAACAAACAACAAAAUAAUUGCCUCGGAUCUAAGAAGCGGUGUGAGGGAGGGGAGGUUCUCCAGUGAGCGACCCCUAAUCCGCUCAAUGCUUUAUGUGCUGUUACUUCAACCGGAAAAAGGCCCUUUAAAUCCCAUCCUCGUGCUGCAAAGAUCACUGGAAGUUUCCCAUUUCAUAGUAGACCUGUCGGGAGGAUGUCGUAAAACCUAAAGCACGGGUCACCACAGAAAACGGCAACAACGCAAAACGACGUACUUCAGCUCCAACGAGAUCCCGUUCGAGGGUUUUCAUUCAGCCCCACAGUCGACAUAUUUUCGUACUUUCUAAUUCAAGUGUCUUGAGGAUUAUUGGGGUCGCACUGCCCCCCACAGGCCGGGGACGACGGACUGGAGCAAAAGGGAACUCAUUUGGAGUUUCACACGGGAGGUAAUUUUUCAAGAGUGUGGACUGUCCUUCAACUCCCUCUUUGCUGUGUCUCAAACACGCGCCCCUGAGACAGACACACCUGCCUGCACACUCACACAUGCAGGAUUGCUGUGUGACACACACGACACACACACAAGACUCAUGUUCAAAAACACUCCACGCAAACACACACACAGGAAGGAAGACACAAAACACUUAAACACAAUUCAGCAGAGACACAGACCUCUCUGAUCAGAUCAAUGCAGUACGUGGUUCUCAUCAACGUUGCCAGAACAUGAAUACACACACACACACACACACACACACAACCGCACAGCUGGACAGUGAGGAAAGUGUCAGGGGACCUAAUUAUGAACAGGAAUGAGGCAGAGUACCAGUUGUAACAUCAGGGGGGGAGGAUGGACGGAGGAGAAGUUGAGGAAUACGAGGGAAAUGCUUCUUGGUGGAGAAGUUGUUGAAAUACAUGGAAGUUUGUAUCCACGUGAAUCCUCAACUCAGCGUUUGAAAUACAAGUCUUCAUAUACGUAGCGUGAUAGCUGUUAAAAUUCAAACACAAGAUGUGUGUCUUUUUCUGUAGUUGUAAAUUGACUUGACCUUUUUCUUUUGAUUUAGUACGCGUGGUCCAUAGCAACUACAGAUGUUCCUACAUGGCGAGCUUUCUUGUUCCCAAUGAGUGUUUUUCAGCAUCUCCGAUGCUAAAUGCAGGCUUAUUAUUCCGAAACAAUACACAGACUUGAGUAGUGAUGAUGAGUGCAUGCAUGCAUGCGCACGCAAACACAGACUCACUACCUCAAACAAAUAGACUGCAAUGCUGUUACCGCAGGCCCAAAUAUUGCUAACUCCAACAGCUGAUGAAAUAUUCUCUGUUUACUCUCCUCCAAAUGUCCUGCUAAAUCCUAAGAGUGUGUGUGUGUGUGUGUGUGUGUGUGUGUGUGUGUGUGUGUGUGUGUGUGUGUGUGUGUGUGUGUGGACAGUGGAUCCUGAACUAACACAGCAUGGUGAAGGCUGCUACCCGGGGCAGGACAACAUGUACACCAACCCGUACACAAACACAGGGAAACGCACACGAAAGGGAGACUAUUAUAUGAUUAAUAUGAUCCUCCGCGCUGUUGCCGCUUUCCCUUGUAAUUUUAAAAACCGAGGACGCGUAGCCUCAUCGAAACCCGUGCGUGAAUGAUAUUUUAUUCCAGUAUAAUGCAUCAAGGAUAUUCUCCCCUUUCAAUUUUAGUUAUUCUGCCAAGGACAUCGGUUCCAAUCCCAAUCGGACUCUACUUAAAGGUUUUGGGGGAGUUGCAGAAAUCUACCAGUGCCUCUUGAGCAACGUGUUACAUUAAGCCAACUUCAAUUCCUCAACAUAGCAUAAUUGGAAAAGAAGUUAGAGCUUUUAUUAUAUAAAGGCUAACACUUUAAAACUUUCUGGCUCAAUGCAACCAAAUUGGAAUAUCCCCGAAGCAAAGCCAGUCGGCCUUGCAGACGUUCUAGAACUGAGUAUGAAUUCAAAAGAGUAUAUGAUUAAUAGUUUGAUAUUGUUAAGCAAUACAUUAAAAAUAGCAAAUGGGAAAAGAAUCCCAUCAACCUGCAUCAAUUAUCAACGAAUUACAGAGGAAGAAAUGAAUACCCACCUUCCACUGUUUUGUCGUAUUAUUUUGAAUGUGUGGCAGAAGGCUGGAGCUCAUGAGAAAUAGCUGACGGGCUCCAAUAGUGGCAAGUACAACAUCUGCUGGUGCAAAAUGUGGUUUGUGAACAUGAAUUUGUUUCCUUGCUUUUUCAUUUCAUUUUCAAUUUACAUAUUUACAUUGCACCUACUGUUUGGAUUAUCUGAUCUUCCAGCUGAGUGGUUCUGAAAGGAUUCCUCUGAAAUGUCUCUAAUACAGAGACUAAUUACCAAUUACCAAAGUUGUUGCAGCUUUGUGAAUUUCCUGAAUGGUGUUCUUCAACCAAAGCAGGGAUCUGCUAACCUGAAAUUGGACUUUAAUGAUUUAGAUUACGCUGCAUUUGUACUUUAUGAAAUGUAUCCCAUAAUGACUAAAUAUAUUGUUUAUGUUUCUGUAUAGUAGCAUCUGUGCUUCAUAGCGUUCGGUACAAAAUCAUUUUAAACUAGAAGGGAGCUCUGGGAGCGCUGGUGUCCUCUCCAGACUAGAAACACCAACUUCCUCGGCCCGUUUUUUGUGACGACAAAUACACAAACAAACGCAAAUGGAGGAGGAAGGAGAAAACACAGACAGGGGGAACAAAGUGUUAUCAAAGAGUUAAAAGCUAAAAGGCGUUGAAGGUGGAAUACCGAUAGUGAAAAUAGUGAUGAUGAUGCAAUAUUCCAACCCGUUUGUUUCCAUACCAUCAGAGUCUUCUCCAAUGAGAAAUGGCCGAUGCAAAAAGGCACCAGGGAUCGAUUUUAAGGACUCUCCACACAUAUACACACGCUCCACUCCACUCGCACACAGACUGUGGAGCGCACUUUCCCGGAAACGUCCGGCGCAAACUCUUGCUUCGUCACACACGCUGCGGGAGAUCAGUCAGCGAGGCCCGUCGCUGUGACAGCGGACAUAUGAGCGGCGGCCGUGCGCCGGCUUAUCAACCGUUUAGCCUGUGGAGAGAAUGGCCCCAUCGUGAUAAAGUGUCUGAACCUUGCACAUUCAAUUACAGGUCAGAGGGCAGCGGGAACAUCAGCAUGUGGCAUCCAUCACAACUGCUAUUGAUUGCCCCGCAAGUGUGAGAUGUGUGUGUGUGUGUGUGUGUCUGUGGUUUGGUGUAAAUAUGUGUGUGAUGAGAUGUUCGCGCCGCUGGAGGCAGUGAUACAUCACUGGUUCUCUGCCUAAACUGAAACAAAAGAAAAUGCAAAAUGAACUGUUAAACGACACGAUUAGAUUUGAGAGAUGGCUAGUGUCAUUUUAGCCUGAACUUCAUUAAAGGUUCUCGUGUUUCUAACGUAUUUGUAAUUGGUCUUUUUUGUGUAAUGUAACUCAGUUUAUACAGCGGUAAUCUAGCUGCAGUGACAACUCUCUGGUAAAGAUCUUCAAGGCAGCAACAUUCUCAGGUCACGCAAAUGCACCUUGAAGCACUUGCUAACAACCCUUUUCUCCAACCCGUGUACAUUAAACAUCGCAUGGAGUAGAAUCUGAUAUGAAGCUGAUAUGAAACGCGCACAUUGUCUCUUUGUCUCUGCACACAUGGCUGACAUCCUCUAUGCGGCAUUUCUCUCCCCCCCAAUCCUCCCCAAGUUUGGAGACUGCCCUCCCUGUUUGCCCACUAAUCUUCUUUUAUUGAUCAGUCCACCGUCUAACUGCUGUGAACAUUUUGCUGUUGUUUUGUUUUUGUCAUACCGAUAAACCCUCCGAGGUUAGUUAGAGACGCCCUUGUCCAGGCGCCGAACAUUUAUAGCCCAAAAAAUGUUUACGGUUGGAAUUGGCAGUGAAGGGCUCUGCUGUCUGAAGGAGCUCUCACAGUAAUGCGUUCACAGGAGACAUAAAACACAUGUACGGUAAACAGUUACACUUGGUCGUGUGCCGUGCGGAAACAGAGCGUCGCCGUCGGAGAGAUGGAUCAAGUCCAAGCGUCUGUUUAGGUCAUCUGGCCUGUAGUUAAUGGACGAUGGAGGGAGUUGAGCCACUAUAAGCCAUUACAUCUGCAUGAAAACAUGUAUAUGGUUUACCAAUAUUUUACUUUGAUUGAUGUGGGGAUUACCAUUUUGACAAGAUGAAAACCACCAAUAAUAAAUACAAAUGUGAACAAAAAAGCAAGCGCUGGAAAGGAGUUGUUGAAAAGCUCUUACGAGCACACGUGUAAGGAUUUGUCCACGUGGCACCGAGCCUGUCUGCGGUUUUUCCACAUCAGCAGAUUCCCUCUCCUGCUUCAUGGCAUGUGAAUACAUCAGUUUCAGGACAUUUCCUUCCUCCUCUUGGCCGGUCCUCUCUCGGUUGCUCCACUCUCCUCCCUCCCUCCCUCUCAUUAAAAAGCAUUUGCACUCAGCAUGUUAGCAUAAAUACAUAAAUUCCUCGCCCGUCUGACGACAGGCUUCCUCUCUUCAAAAACAGAAAGUCACAUCACACAUCGCGAACACAUCUUGGAUGUUUUAUUCUGAGGAUUUCCUUCCAGGGAAAAACUCUGUAAGUGUUGCUGUUUUCUCUCCGCGUCGACUUGUUCCAGCUCACAACAAUCAGUCCUCAAACAAUAGUUGAGGGGUUUCCUGUGAAGUCUUCCGUAGUGCACAACUAAUCAAUAUGCCGAUGAAUACCGAGAUGCAGUGUCAACGUAGACGAAGGCAAAGAAAGGCUGUAGUUGCAUUUCCAAAUCUUUGAAAGUUGGGGGGGAAAUAAAGCCGAGGAAAAGAAGGGAAGAGGUGUUUUUUGAGAUCGGUGUGCGCUCAUGUGCCUGUUUUUGUAGGUCCGCCUGAGCUCAGUAUCACUGGAGCAUGUUGUGUAAUCAAUAGCACUUCAACCAGAGAGCAAAUCAAUGCAGGCUGUAAUGUGAUGCACGGUCCAGAGAGAAGCACAGAUGGAUGGCGAACACAUAAAGAGAAGAAGGCCGAGAGGAAAGGAAGGGAGGUGGGAAAAUGUGAAAAGGAGAAUAAAUAACACGGUAAGUGUAUUUAGUAGGAAAGUACACAAUGGGUAGAGGAAUGUGUCUUAGGCAGUAGGUUAAAGGAAAAGGAAACUCAGGUGUGAUGUACAAAAGCAGAGAGACAUUCAUCAGCUGCCGUGGAGGAGGGGAUUGGCAUCACAAACCAGCGGAGAGGCUCAUCACACUUCUCCAUCCUGUCCUUAACUCAUCCUCCUCCUUCAUGUUUCUCUUAUUUAGCAACAUAGGCCUAAAAUGUGAAUUGUUACUGUAUCUGUAAGAUACUCAACUAGCACACGUACACAACGUGUGUGUAGCAUCGCCCACGUGAAACUGACAACCAGCGGAAGACAAACCUUCAGGAAAUAAGCAACGCAGGGAUGAGUCACCAAAGUCCCCCCCCCCAAAAAAAUCCCCCUCCACAGAAACAACUUGAAGGAACCAGACGGCAUAAACACUAAUAACAUCCUCGCUGGUAUAGUGCGCAUGCAUGUGUGCGCUGAACGUGUUUCACUGUGUGUCUGCAUAUCUGUGAGUGUGUGUACGGAGCAGAGGGUUGAAUGGGAAUUCAUUAUAGUGCAUUUCUGUGUGAGAUUUUGAUAAGCUUUGAUAAGAGAGGUAUCUCACUCACCUGCACACAUAUCAAUGACAGUCUCUUCUGCCUGACUAUGAAGGCUAACAUGCAUGAGGACACACACACACACACACACGUUCUUUUCUAUUGCUGUGUUUUUCUCAUGCACAUAAAUAUGCAUAGAAACAACACUUCACAUCACUUUCCCUUUCUCUCUCUCUCACACAAACACACACACACAUUUGUAACUGCUCUCUCCAGGUCUGAUAAACUUGCUUAUGGAAGCUAAUAACUCCCCUUUUUCCCCUGGCCUUAAUUAGGACCAGUUAUUACAGAGUGUUUGAUGGUCUGUUUUUCUCUCUCUCUCUCAUUGUUGCACAGCUUGAUGCCGGCUGGUUGAGAGUGAAAAUGCGGAGAGAACGGAGGGGGGACGACUUUGCAAAUUCCUCUCAAUCUCACUGCCGGUGGUCCUCGCGGCCAGUCAGUAUCCCGCACACGUAUACGAACACAAACUAUACCAUCCCCCUCCUUCCAUUUGGGUUCGUGGCUCGACUUCCCUGCAAUUUGUUGCUUUUCUUGCAGUUCAAAGUUGAGGACGGUACAAUAGAUGGAGGGUAUAAGCGACGUGGAACUGUACAUGAACCCACAGCAUGAUGUCGAGAGUGCUUCUUUCAUCUUCAAAAACUCAGUUUUUGAAAGGAAAAAGGUGUGUUUCUCAUUGACAUUCAUAAAUGUUUUUAAAUUAUACAGCCAACUUUCAAAGUGUUUCACUAUCCCAGGGUCAUAAAAGUUGUUUAAAAACACAAAAGCAUGGCAUUUACUAAAAAACUGAAAAUGGCUGAAGCUACGCGUCACCACAUUUUCACAGAUGUGGCGGCACACGCCUCAUAAUUAGUUGCUUUCCAGCAUGUGGAGGUAACAUUUGUGCUUAUUUUGUACUUAUUCAGUGUUGUCUAUUUAGCGAGGACGAUGCACAGUAGUUGUGUUGUACCAGCUAAUUAUCAUGUGUGGUCCCCGGGACCAGAUCUCUGCUGGUGUGCACAUAACUUUACACUUUACAAACAAACAGACACAAUAUGACAAACUAAAAAGCAAGACAAAAAAUUACCACUCGGGAAAAGAAAUAGCAGAAUAAUAAAAGAAUAACUAUCUCCUGCGAGGAAGCACAACACCACAAAUCUAGUGAUAUUAAAAAUAAAAGAACGUCGCCUCUUCUUCAACACGAAUUUCAGUGGGAGGGAAUUGCUUAUUUUUUGUCCAUUUUCUCCUCGUCUCCAACACCUUUGUCAAACCUAUGAAUGCUGAUAAAUACAUAAAUGCUACCUGUCCUUCUUCCAACGAACAUCACAACUGCUGAACAAAGUGGGAGGGCCCCUUCACUGCCUAAAAGUCCCCAACUCGUCUAAACCACUUCAUCUUUGAUACAAUGCCCCUGUUGUCCUGCACAGUGAAAAACGCUAGUUACUGAAAAAUGAAGAGGGACUGAAAGCUAGAGGCAGAUGGAAAAAAUAAGGGAUGAAAAGGAUUUAAAUCCACGGUAGUUUGAUUUUUGAUGAGUGAAUGACCUCAUUUAUUAUGCAGAUGUCAUCUGUGGUCUCGACACGAUGUCAUGAUCUGAGAGAGGAGCAUGUAGCGACACUCCGCACAUCAAAUAUUCAUCACGCGCACAUUUCCACAAAACCGUCCAAAUUGGCUGAUCGGAUCGCGCGUCUUGAGAUGAACUUAUGACUAGAAGGUGGAAGGAGAAGGUUGACCACACGUCAGCUAUUGGUUCUGUUUCCCUUAUACGGAGACCGAGUGUUUCUGUCAACGUCAGAUGGCCUUUUCAACAGUUCCAUUAUCGGGCCUUUUGCUGCCAGGGACACUUUUCUGGGGACAAUCCCUGGAGCUAAAUGUAUUACAAAAAGUUGUUGAUGUCGCAUAUAACAAACAGUGUAACUUCAAAAGUUGAGUUUGGUCCAGAGGGGAUGAUGUGCCCUCUAAGAGAGCUCAAUGGUCGGCUGCAUCAACAGUGUAACCAGGGAUCAAAGGUCAGGCCAUAUUUCUUUCCCCUCUAAAUAAGUUACCCUUCUGUACAAAGCUUUUAUAUAAAAAGGUAGCUCAGCUACAAGCGCCGGCAACAGUUUAUUCUGCAUCAUUUCUUUUACAAACCAACUUAUGGCUUUUUCAUGAUGGAUGGAUUUUGUAAUGAGUCAGAAUAACUUCAGUCCUUCCGGCUUCUAUAUCCAAGGGCGCAACCCGUCGGCCUCCGCAGUGAACAUAAAAAUGUGCUGCUUGUCUGUUUGAGUGGAGAUGGAAGCUGAGCUCUCCGAAGGGUUUGGAGGAGGGAGGAGAAAAAGAAUCGAUACAGUGUCUCGCGGCCGCGGCGUCUCUUUUCCAGUUUGCCAAUUCAGUGGUUUUAAUUCCUGUGUUAGAGUUGAAAGUGUCAAUUAGGGCGUCCAGGGAUAUCAUUUGUGCUCGUUCAGUCUUCUCCACAGUUGCAGGCUGAAUUGAACGGGCUGUGAUUGUGCGUCGUGGUACUCGACGAAGGCUGUGAUCCAGGCCGAUCACGGCGCAGUGGGUGAUGGCCGACAUUAAGGGGGACGGGCAGGCGGGACUCGGCCGGAGGGGGAGUAUGAGGGCGUGUUGUUGUAUCAGACACCGGAUCAGAGGCGACGGGGAUUCAAUAUGUUUUUGUGUGUUGUGCAGCGGUCCCUGGUCGUCCUAUUCGCGUGGAGUAAAGUUAAGAACGUGGGGAAAAUUUGGAAUCAUCGCACAUUUGCCCGACUCUGCAGCUGCCUGAAGGUUGGCACCGAGGUAUAAAACAAGCUCUGCUGCAUUUAGUGCCGUCAUGAAUGUCCCUGAUGAGCAAAUAAUUCAGCUCUUAUGUAAGCCUGUAGUUGCAUAAAGUAAUUGUGUGUACAGAUAUUCUAAACAUGGAACACAAAGUAAUGAAAUCUGGUCAAUUAUUUCUUUCUUGAAACAAAGUUUUCGUGGCAAUAAAUCUUCCAGCCUAUUUAUGUCCCUUUCAAAUGGUGCCACAUUUGUAAAGGAACAUUUAUGAGGAUGUGGGUUCUCUUCCAAUACACGGCUGUAUAAAGCGUCAAUGUUUGGGUGUAAUAUAAACAGCUGAUCCUUGGUGGGUGGAUACUAAAUGGACUGCGACCUAAUGCAACUGUAAUGAAGCUUAAUCAGCAUAAGCAUCCUUCAUAGCGCUAACACUCAGUGCUGGUCAGCUGUUACUAUGACUGUAAUUGACAGCAAACACACACACUCACACAUUCUCAAACACACAUACAUACACACACGCAACCUCACACCCGUGAAUCUCUCAGACUUAGGCUUGGAUGGCUCAUUGACUUACCAUUAAAAGAUAGAGCUUUCAUUAGUUUGGAUGUCCCCCCCCCCCCCCCUAAAAGGAUAACUGUGCAUGUCGGUGUGUGUGUGUGUGUGUGUGUCUGUGUGUGUGAUUUUGUGCGUGCUUAUAUCAAGAGGGGUUUCGGUCUGAGACGUCCAACCAUUCAACCGGUGUCCAGCGCGACGCGUGCGCCCUGUGAGGGCGUGUUCAUUAGCAGCAGGGCGCCAUUCUCCAGCACUUGGAAGCUCGGUGGAGCGCUCAUCGCUGUGGUUGGAUGUAGAAAAAUAAGAAACCAAUUGGAAGAGACUCAGAUGAAUGCGAGCGGAACAUUAAAGAUCAUUCCGGGACAGAGCGUCAGCGGGGGGGGGGGGACCAUCAGCUCCGGUCAGCAUCAAACCGGAUCGGAAAUUAAAUCAGGCUGAAAGCUUUCGGCGUUCUCCAGGACGGGUUUUUUUUUUUACAACAGGAAGGAAGAAUGACGACCGAAAUCGUGUUGGACGUAAUAUAAUGGUGAGUAAGCUCCAGUGUCGGAAGUGAUUCUCUCUCACCGGUUUACGCUCUCAGACUGAGAACCGUGCUCAUCAUUUUAAUGUAUCGCCUUGCAGUUCGGUUGAGCCAUAUAUCUGCUAUUUACUGUUCACCCAUUUAACAGUCUGCAUGGUCCCACGUCGGUCCCACGUGUGACCAUGCAGACUGUUAAAUGUUUGGCAUUCUGUUUAGAAAUCCCCAAAUGCUGGACGGAGCCUAAGCCAAAUUGAACAUCUGGAUAUGCAGGCAGUGUGAAGAGAGCGCGAGGAAGAGGAAUAAAUGAAGGAUGAAGAUCAGCAUUAUAAACCUCCAGUAGUGCGUGAGGAUUAUAAUCUGCGUUGUUGGGCCAAAUGUCUCCCAGCGCGGCCCUCGUUACGAGCCAGCUCAGUGUAAAUGGUGCUGAGGCUCCGGAUUAGUGAAGAGGAGCGUAAAGUCAAAGCGGCAGGGUGACUUGUUCGGACUCCCCGGAUCAGGGCAGUUACAAGAAGCGGGUGGCGGCAGUGGCAGAUGUGCGAGCCGUUCAUCGGCCACAUUUGCCAUCGGCGCGGAUGACGAUCGGGUUGCGUUUAAUAUGACAGAUGAAUAAAGCGGCAGUGACGCUGUCGCACAGGCACCUGUGCAAUUUCUAUGCGUCACUUGAGCUCAUUUGAGGUGAAGAUGUUCUUUCACGUCAACAUAAUUUGCCUUUGUGACUCAUCAGCCAUAAAUGAGAGGUUCUCCCGGGUAGCCACCUCUGUGCUGAUGGAUUAUUGAAAAGCGGCUUCACAGAACAUUCCCCUAGAAUGCUUUUCUGUUACAAUAGAAGGAAUUCGUUGAUGAACUUCAUAAUUAUAAAGGCAAUUAUUAAAGAAGCAAGCCGUAAAGAAUAAUUAUAGACCUUGUGACAUCCACGCAUCCAGGCAGUACCACAGUCACUUUUCUUUUUAUGAUUCAAAAGAAAUUUGUAAAUUCGCCAAAUCAAAGAUCUGCAGCUUCAUAAAACAACACAUAACAAGAGGCAGCAAAGUCGUCCGUUUACUUGUCCCGAACAUACUGCAAAUUUAGUUCUGAGUUAAUUAACACACAAGUUUGAAACUUGAAGAUGGAAUUAAUGAAAAGCAACCACACACGUGCCUGUUUGUUCACUCCAACAAAAACAUAAACGUAGACUUUACAAACCUUGAAAGAUUGACCAGGCGAAUGCAGACGGGUCUCUUCUUGCUUUGAGUUUAACCCUCUGUGGUAAUCAAAGGGAGAUGUGGGUAAAGUAGAAGAGACGGGAUGAAUAAGGUUUAGGCUACAAAGACAUGGAUUGUGCACAAAUCAGUAAUAGGGAAGGCUUGCUGGCAAUUCUGCACCAUCAAGAUUAAGUCUCCCCUCGGAGGCAUUUAGCCAGCAUUAAACCUGCAGCAAUCACUGCACUCGGUGACACUCAGGCUUGAGUUUGUUUUUUGCCUCUUUACAUAAAGACAUGUAAACAUACAGUGAGAUACUUUAAACAACAUGUCUAAUUAUUUAUUUAAUUUAAAGGUAUAUGCAUCAAAGGGCUUUGUGUGUUGUAAAAUAUGUCGCUGACGGAGACGUCAGACCUUUUUUAGCAUCUUUCAGCUCAUCUUACUAUUUCCGUUCUGUUCUCAUCAGCUCCAUUUCCAUUUCCAGCUCAAUAAAAGCUUUAAAAGCAACGAGUCCAGAUAUUAUUGCCAAAUUGUUCAACACAAUGUCUAUUUGUAAGAAGGAAACACCAACAUUUAUUGAAUCAGUCCGAUUACUAAAUUGUUUUUUGCUUCACUACAUUUGUCUUGUUUACCAGAUCAAAUUAAGCAGCAUUCUCUCAUAUGCUCAUAUCCUAAGCAGAUAGAUUGUUAUUGACUUCCGCUCCGCUGCUUGGUUGUCUUUUCCUUUCAUUUGACGGUUAAUUUCUCCCUCCAACAUUCACAGAAUUGAGAAUGGAUGACUGAGAACUGGCAGGGCCACAGUUACACAAAUGUGUUUGUGAAGACCUACACGACUGCUACACAACCACAAUAAUUCUGGUUUAAGCCUGUUCAAGGAUUUAAUGUCCUUAUCACAUGCUGCCACGCAUGUGGUCCCUCUCAUCAUUUUUUUGCAUUUUCCCAGGAGUUUGUCGCUUCUCCAAAAGCCGAGUUGGUCGUUGGGUCUUUAAAAUUCAAUCUUAACUUAACAUCCAUAAUUCUCUAUCAGGGGAGGCAGAUAACAGAUUAGACAAAAGAGAAGAAACGUGAACCCAGGGACACAUGUUGCAGAAGGACUCGUGAGUUUGAUGAAAUUGGUCAUUUGUGGCAGGAAAAUCAUUUGUCUUUGUCCAACAGAUUUGCAUGGACAUGAAUGGACAUACACUUAUUUGACCCCUUCGUUAAGAGUUAAAUGAGAAGAUCAAUAUCACUUUCACGUCCGCGCAUUACCUCUGGAUCCAGAGCCGUGAACUGAUUAGCUUAGCAUUACAACACAUUAGCGGUGACUAGCUCGCCCGGCUCCUCUCAGCACUCCUACAGCUCACAAAUUAAAGAACCAAUGGACAGCUUUUUACUUAGAAGCAACUUAUUCUGACCACCAGGAAAAAAAGAAAGAAAUCUAUUCAAAUAUAUGAUAUUAUAACUCAUGCCCAACGUUGCUAUGAGUAAUUGCAGUCCCCAGUUGGUCUGUCUACAGCAGAGAGCCACUUCCUCUCCUCCUGGCGGGAAAUCUCUCCCUCGCGGUACUCAACACAACCACAAAUCUUCACGCAAAUUAUAUUGUGCAAUAAACCUGUGAAAUGUCCAUUCAAUUUUCGAGAAUGAGAUAUGCGGUCAUUCAAAAACUGUCGUCCAUAACUGUAGGUUUCAUAAUUGUUAUAAAUUGUGAAAUAAAACGGUGCCGCACGGCUGGGUGAUCUUUCAGCACAAUGAAGUUGAUGAGAAAUAAGACGGGCAAACAAUCUUAUGUUCAUAUAUUAAUUUUAUUAUCACUAUUCCGACUUCUCACGUUAACGGAAAAAACAAAAUCGCACAAACUUACAGAAAUGCACGGAUUACUGCAAACUCACGGGAGGACUAUGUCUCUUACUGCUGCCCUUGCACACAUGUGCAAAUUGACAUCAGGAAUUCCGACCUGCAACACUCUGUCUUUCAUUGACAGGGUCUGUUUUCGCCAGUCUGUGCAGGGUGAAUAAAAUCACGUCUGUGGAGACAAACAAUUCAUCAGCAACAUGCACUCUUCAUGAACCCCGUCUCUCUCAGAUCUCCAUCCUCAACAUUUCCCCUUUGAAAAAAGUUUGGUGAGCGAUCGAGACGACUGCAGGGACGAGAACAGCCAAGAGCAGCCAUAGAGAAGAGGAACGUGGUCGCACACGAAAAAAAAAGGAAACGGUUUCUUUCAUCUCAUUCCAGAUAUAAAUUACAGUGGUAAAUUACCACUAAAUUGAUGACAUCACAUCCCAUCGCCUUGGUUACUGUGUGCCCCGUUUCCAUGGUGUCUCACGGGGAGCCGGUUUCUGAAGCGGAUACGAUUGGUCGACCGCUCUGCUUCCCUCUUUGCCGCUAAUUAGAAGUCUUGUGGCUUCCCUCGGGUCCGCGGUGAAGUUGGUUAGGACAACAGAAUACACACACACACACACACACGGAACAAAAAACCUGCAUGGACAAACACAUACACACAAAUAUGCUAUCACAAAUACACGCACAUUCUCUUCAAUUGCAGUGCGGGUGUGUGCGGCGCAGCAGGACGACUAUCACGUGAGUAUCGCAAACACGAAUGUCUCCAGUGCUGCAAAGCUGCAAUUCGAGAGAGACAUUAAAAUCCUGUAAACAAUAAAAGCAUUUUAACCUUGUUGCUUAACUCUACGGUGCUACUGAUUUUGUGUCUUUGCCCUCAAACACACCUAUGCUCUGUAACGGUUGACUUUCCUCCUUCCAUCGCCCUCCUUCCUCGCUGCUGGACUCUGCUUCUCUUGUAACAGAAGUACACCUCCGGUUUGCUUUUCGGAUGCAGCAAUGUGCAAUUAAACUGAGUCAAAGGGAUACAAUCAACACACACACGUGCUCGGAUACAAGGGCAGAAAUAUGUGGAGGAAAUGGAUCAGUUCAUUAAAUAUGACACCAAGACAACCUCCUGUUGGGUUAAAUUAGACUAAAGACGUGGAAAGAACAGCUAAAUCUGUCCACCAGACUCAGAUCGUUCCACUACAAAUGUUAUUUACUUCAUCUUUCCAGUUAGCUGACACUGAAGGAAGUGAUUGCAAGGGAAAAGCCACUCUAGCUGUCUUCCUUGUUGGCAUUCUGUAUGCUAAGACAACAAGCUGGCAGAGGUAUUUUACGCCAUCAUUCAACGCUCAGUAAGAAAGGAUUAAAGGUUAUUUCCAAAACAUCAAACUAUGAAAUACUUCCAAGUGAAUUUAAUAAACAUGUGAACUAAUUAAACACUGCAUUCUACUGUCUGCUAAUCUAUUAAAAGCUCAGCAUUUACAACCGGUCACAUCCUAAAUUAUGUUUGACCUUCUUCUGAUCACUAAUAAGCCUCAUUACCAUCUAUUAGUGUCGGUCUGGUUCAGCGCUGGAUCUCAUUUGAGAACGAACCCCUUACUCGACAUUAAAGGCAGGGCUCAAUCUAACAAACAAGAUCUUAGAAAGCUGUUUUCUUUUCCCCCUUUGAUGCGCGCUCUUGCAUUCAGCCUCCCUUCAAACCAGUGUUCAAAAAGAUCAUAUUGAGAAUAAACUGCCACUCUCUGAGGGCGCUCAUGAUGAAAGAGAUCAUUGUCUCAGGUAUGACGGGAUUCAUAUUGUGAAUCAAUAAGGGCUUAUAAAUCAAGACACAACAGCUUCCAACACUUAGACUCUAUUUACUCAAGUGGUGCAUUCAAUGUUUGGCUGCGAUCGCUCCACAAACAUCUUCCCACACUCUGGUGGCUACAGUUUUUGUUGCGGUAGGAAAUUAAAAUGGGAGCCAAGGAUUGGAGGCGGGGAGGACCGCCAGAAGCUCCUUCUAUAUGGGGAUCAUUACGAAUGAGUUCAUGAAUCUGCUUUUUGGUUCUUAAUAAGUUCCGAACCAAAGACGUACCAAACGUGUCUGUGGAAAUGUUCAGUUCUCCACCGUUUGGCGAGCAGCCAUCCAUCCCUCCUCUUCCAUUGGAGGCAACGUCAGUGAUGCCAUGCAGGGUUUACUCAUAGGGGCCAGUACAUGAACGCUAUUCACUGAUGAUUGUUUAGCUGAGAACAGCUGCUAUUGCUGCUCGAUUUGCUACACAAAUAAUAAACAUUUUUUUCUUCUGACAACAUAAUCAAAAUAAACAAAAGAAUCAUAAGGACAUUUACCGAUCGCAGCGAUACCCCUCCUUGGAGGUGACAAAUGACGCGAUCGAGAGGUGAAUUGUAAAAGGCAGUUAAAGAAAUCAUCAUGAGAAAAAAGUGGCACAAGAAUGUUUGGGAAACAUUUUAAGUGAACGAGAAAUGAUGUUCACGGAGUGUAAAAACAUACGCGGCACAUAAUAGAAAGAUAAAUCCGGAGAGGCCGGAUGGACAGACGGUACGAGACACAGUCCAGAGCAGUUUGGGGAGAUAAUAAAGACACGAAGCAAAGUGAGACAGCAAAAAGAAUGGAAGCAAGAAGGGGGGGGGUGUUUAUCCUCCCCGUGAUCAUGUAGCAGUCUGUCUCUCGUUUAGCCCACGGUUCUGAUUAAGUCAUUUGUGUUUAAAGAGGGGGAAGCCUCUAAUUCCCCUCCUUUCAUCUAAUUUAAUUAUGUGCUCUCUCUCUUUCUUCCUUCGAAGGAUAAAAGCAGCUUAAGCUUUUAUGUGGAGCUUUAACGACAGCGGCGAGGAAACUUUACCCGCUGAUUACUUAGCCUUAAGUGUGUUUAGCCUCCGCGCUGCACCACACACUCGCAGACUCGCACACACUGUAUUCCACACGCUUGCACACGCUUUUCCAAAAGAGUCCAACACAAAGUGUCUCUUUGCGUUUAAAGUUCAGUCAGCGAGCCGCACACGCUGUUGUGAUAUGAAGUUGUUGUUGGUGGAUCGCUCGUUGGCACGGUUACCAACAGCAGACCGGCUGGCUCGGUUACCAACCAGCAGACCGGUUGGCACGGUUACCAACCAGCAGACCGGUUGGCACGGUUACCAACCGACAGACCGUUUGGCACAGUUACCAACCGACAGACCGUUUGGCACGGUUACUAACCGGCAGACCGUUUGGCACGGUUACCAACCGGCAGAUCGGUUGGCACGGUUACCAACCGGCAGAUCGGUUGGCACGGUUACCAACCGGCAG
ensembl:lncRNA